UACGUAGGGUGCAAGCGUUAAUCGGAAUUACUGGGCGUAAAGCGUGCGCAGGCGGUUGUGCAAGACAGAUGUGAAAUCCCCGGGCUCAACCUGGGAAUUGCAUUUGUGACUGCACGGCUAGGAGUGUGUCAGAGGGGGGUAGAAUUCCACGUGUAGCAGUGAAAUGCGUAGAGAUGUGGACGGAAUGACCGAUGGCGAAGGCAGCCCCCUGGGAUAACACUGACGCUCAUGCACGAAAGCGUGGGGAGCAAACAGG
rnacentral:rRNA from 1 species